GCGAGCCUGUGAAGGGGAGCAAAUCCCAAAAAUAACGUCCCAGUUCGGAUUGUAGUCUGCAACCCGACUACAUGAAGCUGGAAUCGCUAGUAAUCGCGGAUCAGAAUGCCGCGGUGAAUACGUUCCCGGGUCUUGUACACACCGCCCGUCACACCAUGGGAGUCGGAAAUGCCCGAAGUCAGUGACCUAACCGAGAGGAAGGAGCUGCCGAAGGUGGAGCCGGUAACUGGGGUGAAGUCGUAACAAGGUAUC
rnacentral:rRNA from 1 species